rnacentral:rRNA from 1 species
CCUACGGUGGGCCGCAGUGGGGAAUAUUGCACAAUGGGGGAAACCCUGAUGCAGCGACGCCGCGUGAGUGAAGAAGUAAUUCGUUAUUUAAAGCUCUAUCAGCAGGGAAGAAAAUGACGGUACCUGAGUAAGAAGCCCCGGCUAACUACGUGCCAGCAGCCGCGGUAAUACGUAGGGGGCAAGCGUUAUCCGGAUUUAUUGGGGUUAAAGGGUGCGUAUGCUGUGUAGUAAGUCAGCGGUGAAAUGCCCCCGCUCAACGGGGUGAAGGGCCAUUGGUACUGCCUUGCUGGAAUGCGGAUGCCGUGGGAGGAAUGUGUGGUGUAGCGGUGAAAUGCAUAGAUAUCACACAGAACACCGAUUGCGAAGGCAUCUCACGAAUCCGCGAUUGACGCUGAUGCACGAAAGCGUGGGUAUCAAACAGGAUUAGAUACCCGUGUAGUC